CUGAGUGAGGGCCUCACGGCCCGACCUCCAACCCUUUGUGAACACAUCUUGUUGCUUCGGGGGCGACCCUGCCGUUCGCGGCAUUCCCCCCGGAGGUCAUCAAAACACUGCAUUCUUACGUCGGAGUAUAAAGUUAAUUUAAUA
rnacentral:misc_RNA from 1 species